rnacentral:rRNA from 1 species
UACAGAGGGGGCAAGCGUUGUUCGGAAUUACUGGGCGUAAAGGGCGCGUAGGCGGCCUUCUAAGUCGAACGUGAAAUCCCUGGGCUCAACCCAGGAACUGCGUCCGAUACUGAAAGGCUUGAAUCCGGGAGAGGGAUGCGGAAUUCCAGGUGUAGCGGUGAAAUGCGUAGAUAUCUGGAGGAACACCGGUGGCGAAGGCGGCAUCCUGGACCGGUAUUGACGCUGAGGCGCGAAAGCCAGGGGAGCAAACGGG